rnacentral:lncRNA from 1 species
CGUACAUUUCCUAGUCCUAUAUGGCCCUUUAAGCGGAAGGAUUAAUCUGAUAUCACUAAUUAUAAUAACAUGUGAAAAAUACAUCUCAACACAAUAAGUAAGCCUGGGAGCUGAUUCAUCCACAUCAGCUAAUACAAAUCUGAGCCAUCUCUAGAUUCAAGGAAUGAUUGUGCAAUGUCUCGUGAACGUACCUGUUGUAUUUCAUGAUAUAGUGGAAGGACACAGACUAAGAUGGGGUCGGAUCUCUCUCCCUGAUGAAUCGCUCAAUCCCCCGGAGCGGGGCUA